GAUAUAGAGAGAUAAGGAUGUGAUAUCUAUCACAUCCUGAUAGAUAUCACAUCCUUAUCUCUCUAUAUCAC
rnacentral:miRNA from 1 species